rnacentral:misc_RNA from 1 species
GUAUAAUUAACUUUUUAUUUAUAACAUUCUAAAACAGAUUCAUAGGUUUGUGAAAAAGGACAUAGACCCUUGCAAGGGAAAAGCUGACUUCACAGCAGUCCCAACUCGGAAACAAAUCCAACCCCCCAAAGGUCUACAAUAUGUGCACAAGUUGGAGAGAUAAAGAUGACAAGCGUGCACAUACCCUAGGGGCCAGCAACAACCUGUUCAAGUUUAUUCGAUAAUGAUCCUUCCGCAGGUUCACCUACGGAAA